rnacentral:ncRNA from 1 species
AAAUUGGGGAGCUGAGCAAUCGGCUGAGAUGAAAGUUAAUCUUUCGUACCCUUCAAACAUGAUCUGGAUAAUGCCAGCGUAUGGAAAUACUU